rnacentral:lncRNA from 1 species
UUUCGGAAUGCUAUUGGAGACUGGUUUCUUGGUUAUUUUGGCUUCAUCGGGGUCUUGAAAAUCCUCAAAGCGAAGCUUCUUGCGGUCCUUCAUGGGCCACAACUUUGUUAGGAUCCGGGAUUUUGUCGUGUUGUUUACAUGGACUCUACUUUAAGAGAAGUGUGCCUAUAUUUCAUUAGUAUGCUUCUAUCCUUGGUGCAACAACAUGCAGGCUUCUUAAGUAGGAUUGAGAGGUGUCCUUGCAACAUAUACUGCAGAAAGGUAAUGUAAUGGUAGCUAGAUUUUUGGCUGAGGUCAGAGUGGGAGAAGCAGAGAGCAUGUUAGUUCAUGAGUUUUCUUCCUGGGAAUUAUCGGAGCACCUCUUUCUUGAGCUAGGUUCCUAUUUUUUGGUUCCUUUCUAGAAAAAUAUUCUCUUUAUAUUUCUUUAAUCUUUUAAAAAAACUUAAUAUUUGACAUAGAAAAAAAAAACAUGAUAUAAGUUUUGUAAACUUUGUUUUAAUUUAC